AUUGAACGCUGGCGGCAGGCCUAGCACAUGCAAGUCGAACGGCAGAACAGUAAGUGCUCGUGGUUACGGGGGGGGAGGGGUGGGUGGGGGAUAAAAAUAUGGGUGUCAAUGGUGUCGAAGGUGCGAACGCGGGCGCACAUACCGCAAUAGUGCAGACGGCGUACGGGGGAAAGCAUGGGACCUUCCGCUCUCAGAUGAGCCAAUGUGGGGAUGUCGGAUUAGCUAGUUGGCGGGGUAAAGGCCCACCAAGGCGACGAUCCGUAGCUGGUCUGAGAGGAUGAUCAGCCACACUGGAACUGAGACACGGUCCAGACUCCUACGGGAGGCAGCAGUGGGGAAUAUUGGACAAUGGGCGCAAGCCUGAUCCAGCCAUGCCGCGUGUGUGAAGAAGGCCUUCGGGUUGUAAAGCACUUUUAGUGGGGAAGAAGAGCAGUAAGUUAAUACCUCGCUGUUUUGACGUUACCAACAGAAUAAGCACCGGCUAACUUCGUG
rnacentral:rRNA from 1 species